rnacentral:lncRNA from 1 species
AGCCCAGCAAAUACCAUCCCUUCUUGACUUUGAUAUUUUUAGACCCUAGCAUAGCAUGCUUGCCCAAUACACUCUGUUGAUCUAGGCUAAUUGUCUUAGAGCAUUCUAUGGAUGUUUUACUACCAUAAUGACAAGGCCUCCUGAUUGGUCCUAUCUUUUUGAAACCUUGAGGGAUGCACCCAAGUUGGUUAUAGAUGGGACUCCCUCAUAG